AGCGAACGCUGGCGGCAGGCCUAACACAUGCAAGUCGAACGGAUCCUUCGGGAUUAGUGGCGGAUGGGGGAGGAACACGUGGGAACGUGCCCUUUUGUUCGGAACAACUCAGUGAAACGGGAGCUAAUACCGGAUGUGCUCCUCUGGUGCAAGAUAUAUCGCCAUUGUAGCAGCCCGCGUCUGAUUAGCUGGUUGGGGAGGUAACGGCCGACCAAGGCGAGGCUCAGUAGCUGGUCUGAGAGGAUGAUCAGCGACACUGGGACUGAGAAACGGCCCAGACUCCUACGGGAGGCAGCAGUGGGGGAUCUUGCGCAAUGGGCGAAAGGCUGAAGCAGCCAUGCCGCGUGAAUGAUGAAGGUCUUAGGAUUGUAAAAUUCUUUCAGCGGGGACGAUAAUGACGGUACCCGCAGAAGAAGCUCCGGCUAACUUCGUG
rnacentral:rRNA from 1 species